UCAAGAAUGGUCAAUUAGUUAAGCACAGAUAUAAUCAUAGAUACAUGGAAUCAAUCCUCACCAGAUAAAGUGUUUCACUCAAUCCCUCAGGUGUUUCAAGAGGUCACUCCUUCCCUCUACUAUCCACAUGUCACAUAGAACAAAAUCGCCUUUCAUUUACCACAAGCAAACAUCAUCACACACACAUGUCAUCACAAGGACUUUUUCAUGGCUUAUAAUGAGGUUAGGUUAACAAGAAAAAUUGGUUUUUCUAGAUCACAAAAUCCUUGAGUUAAGAGAGUUUAUUCAACAUUUAUCAUUCAAGCACAACUCUCUUUUAUCAACCAAUCUCACUCAUUCCCAACUUUCCCCUUUCUUUGCAUUGAGCUUAUCUUUCUUUCAUUCUAUCUUUUCUAUCUUUUUCAUGCUUUGCUCAACACCAUAGCUCAAUGUUUUUUCUUUCUUUUUCAACUUCCCAUCAACCCCAAACUUGAACCUUUAUCAAUACCACAC
rnacentral:lncRNA from 1 species